rnacentral:rRNA from 1 species
GUCUUUUUGAUUAUAAUUUAAAGUCUGACCUGCCCAAUGAAAAUUUAAAUGGCCGCGGUAAUUUGACCGUGCAAAGGUAGCAUAAUCAUUAGUUUUUUAAUUGAAAGCUGGAAUGAAUGGUUGGACGAGAAAAUAACUGUCUCAAGUUAAUUGUAUGUAGAAUUUUAUUUAUAAGUUAAAAAGCUUAUAUGCUUUUAAAAGACGAGAAGACCCUAUAGAAUUUAAUAUUUUUAUAUACUUGUAUUUUUUAGUGUGAAUAAGUUUAGGUAUAUAAAGGUAUUUUGUUGGGGUGACAGAAAAAUUAGAUUAACUUUUUUUAUAAAAUUAGUUCAUUGAUUAAUGAUUGAUUGAUCCGUUUAUUACGAUUAUAAGAUUAAAUUACCUUAGGGAUAACAGCGUAAUUUUUUUUAAGAGUUCUUAUCGAAAAAAGAGUUUGCGACCUCGAUGUUGGAUUAAAAUUAACUUUUGGUGUAGGGGCUAAAAGGUUAGGUCUGUUCGACCUUUAAAAUUUUACAUGAUCUGAGU